rnacentral:rRNA from 1 species
ACGGAAGGCAGCAGUGGGGAAUAUUGCACAAUGGGGGAAACCCUGAUGCAGCGACGCCGCGUGAGUGAUGAAGUAUUUCGGUAUGUAAAGCUCUAUCAGCAGGGAAGAUUAUGACGGUACCUGACUAAGAAGCCCCGGCUAACUACGUGCCAGCAGCCGCGGUAAUACGUAGGGGGCAAGCGUUAUCCGGAUUUACUGGGUGUAAAGGGAGCGUAGACGGUUUGGCAAGUCAGAUGUGAAAGCCUGGGGCUCAACCCCGGAACUGCAUUUGAAACUGUCAGACUAGAGUGCAGGAGAGGUAAGUGGAAUUCCUAGUGUAGCGGUGAAAUGCGUAGAUAUUAGGAGGAACACCAGUGGCGAAGGCGGCUUACUGGACUGUAACUGACGUUGAGGCUCGAAAGCGUGGGGAGCAAACAGGAUUAGAUACCCUGGUA